rnacentral:rRNA from 1 species
GACGAACGCUGGCGGCGUGCUUAACACAUGCAAGUCGAACGGAAAGGCCCUGCUUGCAGGGUCCUCGAGUGGCGAACGGGUGAGUAACACGUGGGUGAUCUGCCCUGCACUUCGGGAUAAGCCUGGGAAACUGGGUCUAAUACCGGAUAGGAGCCAUUUUUAGUGUGAUGGUUGGAAAGUUUUUUCGGUGUCGGAUGAGCUCGCGGCCUAUCAGCUUGUUGGUGGGGUAAUGGCCUACCAAGGCGGCGACGGGUAGCCGGCCUGAGAGGGUGGACGGCCACAUUGGGACUGAGAUACGGCCCAGACUCCUACGGGAGGCAGCAGUGGGGAAUAUUGCACAAUGGGCGCAAGCCUGAUGCAGCGACGCCGCGUGGGGGAUGACGGUCUUCGGGUUGUAAACUCCUUUCGCUAGGGACGAAGCUUUUUGUGACGGUACCUAGAGAAGAAGCACCGGCUAACUACGUG